GCAUGGAGAGCAGUGGCUUUCGAUUUCUCUCUCCCCCAGUUGGGCCGGACUCUGGACGUGAGGCUGAGGGAGUACAUGGCUCCUUCAGAGUGUGAGCUCAGAUGCUCAGAUGCUCGAGUGCUUCCGGCUGCUUUUCCGUUGGUAACUCACGUGUUCUUCCUGCAGGCUGGCAUUUUUCUUUCAUGGGUUUUUUUCGCUGGUCAGAAUUAUAGUCUUCUGAUAGUAUAUACAUAGCUGGUUAUUAUCAGAUACAUAAUUUAAAAAUGUGCAUCUAAAUAUAGAUUUUAUUGGUGAGUGCAUUGUGUUCUGAUUCCAUAAAAAGUCUUUUUUUUUUUUUUUUUUUGAGACGGAGUCUUGCUCUGCCCAGGCUGGAGUGCUGUGCCGUGAUCUCAGCUCACAGCAAGCUCCGCCUCCUGAGUUCACGCCAUUCUCCUGUCUCAGUCUCCCGAAUAGCUGGGACUACAGGCGCCCGCCGCCACGCCCGGCUAAUUUUUUGCAUUUUUAGUAGAGAUGGGGUGUCACCUUGUUAGCCAGGAUGGUCUCGAUCUCCUGACCUCGUGAUCUACCUGCCUCGGCCUCCCGAAGUGCUGGGAUUUCAGGCGUGAGCCACUGCGCCCGGCCCUCCAUAAAAAGUCUUAAGCACAAAAUUAUGCUUGAAAAAAAAACCCUGUCUGUAUAAAAAAUACAAAAAUUAACCGUGCGGUAAUGGCACGUGCCUGUAAUCCCAGUUACACAGGAGGCUGAGGCACGGGAAUUGCUUGAACCUGGGAGACGGAAGUUGCGGUGAGCGGAGAUGGCACCACUGUACUCUAGCCUGGCCAACAGAGUGAGACUCUAUCUCAAAAAAAAAAAAAAGAAAAGAAAAGAAAAUCUUAGCAGGCUCUCCUGUGCAGAUGCUGCUGGUGCUGAGCUUUGUGUCUGGGGCAAAAAAGGUGAGGGCGGGCCCCGGUUGGUUUAGGAGAAGUGUUUACGAACAGAAUGGGCCCCAUGCUCCCGGCCUGAGGAAAUUCUUUCAUGAAAAAGAUUCUUCCGCAGCUUGGAGGGGGAUGGUCCAGCCGAUGCUCCUGUCCCUCUCUCAGCCCCAGGGGCAGAAGGGAAACAGUCAGCAGCACGGCCAUUGCAGAUGGUGCCCAAGGCGGGAAGAGAUGAGGUCUCGCUCUCUCAUCCGGACUGGAGUGCAAUCGUGGGAUCAUAGCUCACUGCGGUCUCCAACUCCUGGGCUCAAGCGACCCUCCCACCGCAGCCUCCUGAGCAGCUGGGACUACAGGUACACGCCACUGUGUCUGGCAAAAUUAGUUUUACUUUACUAAAAGGAAGCACGUAGGCCUGCUCUGGUCUUUGCUACUUGCAGUUUUUGUGUUAUAGAUUGUCGGACACUCGUGGUGAUUUAAUUUUGGAAGGGACCUUCUUUCUCACCCAGUUGGAUCCUUCCAGUUUCUAGAUGAAGACACUUGGUACCUGGAGGCCUUCUGACUUUUGGGUUAGAGCUGGCAUGGAGUCCAGGCACCUGCUCCUCUGACCACUUUCUACAGGCAUGGAUGCUCCUGGGACACUGCAGGGACAGAGCCGUCCCCAGCAAUGCAGAUUGACGGGGCAGGUUUCCAGUUGGGUGGGGCCGCAUCCCUCCCGGAGAUGUGAGGCAGGUUUGAGAUGAGUCUGCUCCCCUUCUGUCUGCUGCCUCUUUCUUUUUUUUUCUUUUCUUUUUGAGACGGAAUCUUGCUCUGUAGCCCAGGCUGAAGUGCAGUGGCACAAUCUCGGCUCACUGCAAGCUCUGCCUCCUGGGUUCAAGCGGUUCUCCUGCAUCAGCCUCCUGAGUAACUGGGAUUAAAGGCAUGCGCCACCACCUAGGCUAAUUUUGUAUUUUUAGUAGAGACAGGGUUUAUCCAUGUUGGUCAGGCUGGUCUCCAACUCCCGACCUCAGGUGAUCCACCUGCCUCAGCCUCCCAAAGUGCUGGGAUUACAGGAGUGAGCCACUGUGCCUGGCCUACGAGUAACUUCUUUUUUAUUGUUAUUUUGUGAGAUGGAGUCUCGCUCUGUUGCCCAGGCUGGAGUGCUGUGGCUUGAUCUAGACUUACUGCAAGCUCUGCCUCCCGGGUUCACGUGAUUAUCCUGCCUCAGCCUCCCUAGUAGCUGGGACUAUAGGCGCCUGCCACCAAGCCCGGCUAAUUUUUUUGUAUCUUUAGUAGAGACGGAGUUUCACAGUGUUAGCCAGAAUGGUCUCGGCCUCCCAAAGUGCUGGGAUUACAGGCGUGAGCCACUGCGCCUGGCUGGGGUAACUUCUUGAUGAAUAUUUUAGUAAUAUAAAUCUUAGUCUGAAUUUCUGUGUUGCCUAGAUUCCAUGUAGGGGAAUGGGCAGGUCAGAAGGGUGUGGCCUGCGGUGUGGCCAGGUGCUAAGGAUUAGGUGCUACAGUUUUCCCCCAGCCCCUCCUGGUUCCCUGGUGAGCCCACAUCAACCUCAGAUGGGCAGACCCCCUACUCAUGGCGGGGCUGGGAGUGUGGGCUCUGUAGUUGGAUUCUGCUUGAGAAUUGUGCGUGGCCUCACUGUGGAGUGUUUGACUGGACAAAAGCCUGCUGUAUACUCAGUGUCCCCAUCUGUAGAAAGGAUGCUGAUGGUACCCACCCCCAGAGUUGUUUUCAGGACGAACCACGAUAAUACGUGUAAAAUGCUCAGAAGACUGUGUGGCAAACAGCAAGCACUUAAUAAAAAAAAUUUUUUUUAGCA
rnacentral:lncRNA from 1 species